rnacentral:ncRNA from 1 species
GCAAAGGCAAGGAUGGGAAGGAGUACGCGGCAGUGCGGGGCCCAGAGAGGAGACGGCGGUGCAAGUCUCCCCCCAGCGGCGCGGAAGGUCGUCCCGGAGCUGCCUGCCGGAACCACAGUACGGCAGGACGGCAUUCCCCCGUUACGGGAAAACGAGCGCGGACGGCGCCCUGCCCGUCCGAAUUCAGGUGGUACCGCGGAAACGAUUCGCCCUGAGC